rnacentral:tRNA from 1 species
GGGGGUGAAUGAGGACUGGUGUCCUCCCUGGGCUUCAAACCCACGUGGCGCGCGGCCAACCCGGGCGCGGUAGGUUCGAUUCCUACCCACUCCC